CAGGAACCAGUGAGAGGUCCCCCACUCUUCUUUGAUCCGUCUGAGGGCCGAGUGGCAGCCUCGACCCGAGCAGAAAUGCGAUGUGUCUGGAUACUCGGGAUCGUAAAUGGAUUUGGGCACCAUUCUGAUCGCCUUUCUUUGGGUGGUAUAUCGCCUCUAAAAGUCCAAGAGGGUAGUAGGGGAUCUAUAUAG
rnacentral:rRNA from 1 species